CUUGGUCAUUUAGAGGAAGUAAAAGUCGUAACAAGGUCUCCGUAGGUGAACCUGCGGAGGGAUCAUUAACGAAUGGCCUUUGGCCUUCAACCUUGUAAACCUGUGGAAGCAAAACGUGCUUUGGCGCUUUCGGGCGCCAACUUUAUGCUUAGGUCAGUCUUGAUGUCUGAACCAAAAACAAGAAAUAAAACUUUCAACAAAGGAUCUCUUGGCUCUCGCAUCGAUGAAGAACGCAGCGAAGCGCGAAAUGUAGUGUGAAUCGCGGAACAUUGUGAAUCAUCGAAUCUUUGAACGCACAUUGCGCCUCCAGUAACUUGGAGGCAUGCCUGUCUGAGCGUCAUUUAAAACCAUAGACCCUUCUGGGUUUGUAUUGGGCCUCGCCUCCGGGCGUAGCCUCAAAGUCAUCGGUCUUAUACGCGGACGAGCUCCAUUCGGACGGAACGUGUGCAGACCUUAAUACAUCUGACUUGACCUCAGAUCAGGUAGGACUACCGCCUGAACUUAAGCAUAUCAAUAAGCGGAGGAA
rnacentral:sRNA from 1 species